rnacentral:rRNA from 1 species
UACAGAGGUCUCAAGCGUUGUUCGGAUUCAUUGGGCGUAAAGGGUGCGUAGGUGGCGGGGUAAGUCAGGUGUGAAAUCUCACAGCUUAACUGUGAAACUGCAUUGGAUACUAUCCGGCUCGAGGAAUGGAGGGGAGACUGGAAUACUUGGUGUAGCAGUGAAAUGCGUAGAUAUCAAGUGGAACACCAGUGGCGAAGGCGAGUCUCUGGACAUUUCCUGACGCUGAGGCACGAAAGCCAGGGGAGCAAACGGG